UUAAAUUGAAGAGUUUGAUCAUGGCUCAGAUUGAACGCUGGCGGCAGGCCUAACACAUGCAAGUCGAACGGUAACAGGAAGCAGCUUGCUGCUUUGCUGACGAGUGGCGGACGGGUGAGUAAUGUCUGGGAAACUGCCCGAUGGAGGGGGAUAACUACUGGAAACGGUAGCUAAUACCGCAUAACGUCGCAAGACCAAAGAGGGGGACCUUCGGGCCUCUUGCCAUCGGAUGUGCCCAGAUGGGAUUAGCUAGUAGGUGGGGUAAAGGCUCACCUAGGCGACGAUCCCUAGCUGGUCUGAGAGGAUGACCAGCCACACUGGAACUGAGACACGGUCCAGACUCCUACGGGAGGCAGCAGUGGGGAAUAUUGCACAAUGGGCGCAAGCCUGAUGCAGCCAUGCCGCGUGUAUGAAGAAGGCCUUCGGGUUGUAAAGUACUUUCAGCGGGGAGGAAGGGAGUAAAGUUAAU
rnacentral:rRNA from 1 species